rnacentral:rRNA from 1 species
UACAGAGGUCCCAAGCGUUGUCCGGAAUCACUGGGCGUAAAGCGCGUGUAGGCGGGUCCGCAAGUCUGCUGUGAAAACUCCUGGCUUAACCGGGAGAGGUCGGUGGAAACUGCGAACCUGGAGGACGGUAGAGGCUGGUGGAAUUCCCGGUGUAGUGGUGAAAUGCGUAGAGAUCGGGAGGAACACCUGUGGCGAAGGCGGCCUGCUGGGCUGUUGCUGACGCUGAGGCGCGACAGCGUGGGGGAGCAAACAGG